UACAGAGGGUGCGAGCGUUAAUCGGAAUCACUGGGCCUAAAGAGCACGUAGGCUGCGCGCUAAGUCAGGUGUGAAAUCCCCCGGCUCAACCGGGGAACUGCACCUGAUACUGGCGUGCUCGAGGACGGUAGGGGUGAGUGGAACUCCAGGUGGAGCGGUGAAAUGCGUAGAGAUGUGGAGGAACACCAGUGGCGAAGGCGGAUCUCUGGGCCAUUACUGACGCUGAGGAGCGAAAGCGUGGGGAGCGAACAGG
rnacentral:rRNA from 1 species